rfam:Triticum aestivum genome assembly, contig: Triticum_aestivum_CS42_TGACv1_scaffold_221978_3B
UCGCUACUCCCUCCGUUCGGAAUUACUUGUCUUGAAGAUAUAUGUAUCUAGAAUUAAAAUACGUCUAGAUACAUCCAUUUCAACGACAAGUAAUUUCGAACGAAGGGAGUAAAUG